UGACACUUACAUCUGACGAUGUUGAUGAUGACACUUAGAGCAACACCCAAAAGGACGGCCCUCAUUCUUAUCUCCCUCUAUAAAAACUGUGAGCUGCCCAUUAUAUCUUCAAAUCCUCAGAUUUUCCUCAACAUCUUUGCAGAGUAGGACAUUUGCAUUGGAAACAGAAAUGAGCAAACUGGAAAAGGCAAUGGAAGAAGUUCUUGACAUAUUUAAACAGAAGGUUUACACAUGUACACAGAGCAAAACAAUGAGGAAAAAAGAGCUGGACAGAACCCUGAGAGAAGAGCUGGAUAAUUGGCUGCAGAACUGCAAGGAUAAGACAAAACGUGACAACAUCUUGAGGGAGCUGGAUGAAAACCCACACGACUGUGUGAACUUUGAGGAGUUUGUUCACUAUGUGACUCGACUGAUGAUGUGCGGUCAUUACUUCUUACAAAAAUAGACUGUUACUCUCAGCUUGUUUCUAACACAGGAAUUGGAAUUGAAGAUCUUAGGUUGACUGUGUUCAGCAGAAAAUAUCGUCCUCUCAACCCAGUUAAUAUCAUUUUUUUGUCAUUACAGCAACUCUUUCACCUUUGUAUUGAUUGAUAACAUAAAUGUGAAUUUAUUAAAACUCUCAGAGUUUAUAUAGUUGUGUAUUUAAA